GAAAUGCGAUAAGUAGUGUGAAUUGCAGAAUUCAGUGAAUCAUCGAAUCUUUGAACGCACAUUGCGCCCCUUGGUAUUCCAUGGGGCAUGCCUGUUCGAGCGUCAUUUGUACCCUCAAGCUCUGCUUGGUGUUGGGUGUUUGUCCCGUCUCCGCGCGUGGACUCGCCCCAAAGUGAUUGGCAGCCGGCGUACUGGUCCCGGAGCGCAGCACAUGUCGCGCAAACGAGUGCCUUGGUACGGCGACGUCCAUAAGCCCCUCUCUCACGCUCUUGACCUCGGAUCAGGUAGGGAUACCCGCUGAACUUAAGC
rnacentral:misc_RNA from 1 species